rnacentral:lncRNA from 1 species
AGUCCGGAAUGCCCUUCCAAGGCCUCAGUGUUGAAGGUAUAGUCCCCAGUGUUGAGCUACUUGGAGUCGAUAUCAGCUUUAAGAGGGUUAAUAGAACUUAUAAUGGAUGAGGCUUUUCCCGCCUAAUGAAUUUGAGCCUUUGCGAGCGCCGUGUGAUUGACAGAGCCACAGACUGACAGCUUCAAGUUUCUAGGGUUUAUGGCAGCCUUUUUGGACCCACGCAGGUGAGUUGCGGAAUGCUAAGGACCAUGGAAGGGCACGCUCAGUCCACUGUUCUUCACUUAAAAAAAAAUGAAAGAAAGAAAGAAAAGAAAAGAAAAGAAAAGAAAAGAAAAGAAAAGAAAAGAAAAGAAAAGAAACCAAAAGGACUACUCCUGGUUCCGGCAGCAAGGGCCGAAUAGGACAAGAAAGACAAGCAUGGCAAGGAGAUCAUGUGUGUGGAUAAAAUCCAUUCCCAGGUCUCCUCAUACCUAACG